GAUGAACGCUGGCGGCGUGCCUAAUACAUGCAAGUCGAGCGAACAGAUGAGGAGCUUGCUCCUCUGACGUUAGCGGCGGACGGGUGAGUAACACGUGGAUAACCUACCUAUAAGACUGGGAUAACUUCGGGAAACCGGAGCUAAUACCGGAUAAUAUAUUGAACCGCAUGGUUCAAUAGUGAAAGACGGUUUGGCUGUAACUUAUAGAUGGAUCCGCGCCGCAUUAGCUAGUUGGUAAGGUAACGGCUUACCAAGGCAACGAUGCGUAGCCGACCUGAGAGGGUGAUCGGCCACACUGGAACUGAGACACGGUCCAGACUCCUACGGGAGGCAGCAGUAGGGAAUCUUCCGCAAUGGGCGAAAGCCUGACGGAGCAACGCCGCGUGAGUGAUGAAGGUCUUCGGAUCGUAAAACUCUGUUAUUAGGGAAGAACAAAUGUGUAAGUAACUAUGCACGUCUUGACGGUACCUAAUCAGAAAGCCACGGCUAACUACGUG
rnacentral:rRNA from 1 species